UGAGGAAUAUUGGACAAUGGGGGAAACCCUGAUGCAGCGACGCCGCGUGGGUGAUGAAGGACUUCGGUUCGUAAAACCCUUUUACAGGUGACGAGAAAAGGACGGUAGCCUGUGAAGAAGCCUCGGCUAACUACGUG
rnacentral:rRNA from 1 species